rnacentral:rRNA from 1 species
UACGUAGGGGGCAAGCGUUGUCCGGAUUUAUUGGGCGUAAAGAGCGUGUAGGCGGCCACACAGGUCAGCUGUGAAAACUCGAGGCUCAACCUCGAGACGUCGGUUGAAACCGUACGGCUAGAGUCCGGAAGAGGAGAGUGGAAUUCCCGGUGUAGCGGUGAAAUGCGCAGAUAUCGGGAAGAACACCCGUGGCGAAGGCGGCUCUCUGGGACGGUACUGACGCUGAGGUGCGAAAGCGUGGGGAGCAAACAGG